rnacentral:rRNA from 1 species
UCUCCGUUGGUGAACCAGNGGAGGGAUCAUU